CAAGCUUAGCUAGGGGAAAAGAACAAAUUGGAAUGGAACAGUUUCCAAACAGUGAAAGAGGUUUUUCCAAACUCAUCCCUAACUGAACAUGAGGAUGAAUUGGCAUUAGGUGAACACAGUCAGUUAUUCAGUCUACCACCUGACAGUGUUUUAAAGUUAAAUUCUGUUAGUGCUGCACUAAAAGAAUUGUUAGUAAUAAGUCCAUGCAGCGAAGGAAUUGAACAAUUGUGGGACUGUAUUUGGGCCGAAAAUGGGUGUGGUAUGGAAACCAAGAUAUGGCAUGAGUUCAACAUAAAACAUGAAUUAGAAUUUUAGUGGGGGAUCAAGUCAAGUCUGGAAGUGUUACAGGAUGGAAGAGUGAGCCUACAGUUGAAAAACACUGAAAGUGCAUUACCAUUAAGGUAUGAGGUAAAGUAAUAGAGUAUGCAAAUUGUCUAAUGAGAAGUACCAUCUUGUGUGAAUGAAUCCUGUGUAACAGCAAUCCUUUAUAGUUCUGUCACAGCUAGAGCCUCAAAUAAUUCUGCUGCUCUGGCUAAAGAACAACUUGUCCUUUACGUUCAGAGUGUUGGUGAAGCUGGGUACUUAA